GUGAAUCAUCGAGUCUUUGAACGCACCUUGCGCUCCUUGGCAUUCCGAGGAGCAUGCCUGUUUGAGUGUCGUCAAAUUCUCAGAACCUCCUACCUGAUGUGGACCAUUGUUGAUGCAUAGAUUUAAUCAUCUAUCUAUGUGGAGGGCGGCGUCCCUCCUCCGCCUUUGGUCCACUACUUCUUCAGGCAGCGGGAUCUGGAUCGGUGGAGGAUGCAUUGCUGGCUAAUAACCUUUGCUUCUCUGAAAUGGAUCGGCGUUUACGGCUUCGUUGUCGGUAUGAUACACAUACAUGUCUUAGCUGCUUCCAACCUGUGCCAAGCCUUGAACACAAACACGCUCUCAUGAUUUGACCUCAAAUCAGGCAGGACUACCCGCUGAACUUAAGCAUAUCAAUAAGGCGAGG
rnacentral:rRNA from 1 species